rnacentral:rRNA from 1 species
GUGGGGAAUAUUGGACAAUGGGCGAAAGCCUGAUCCAGCCAUGCCGCGUGUGUGAAGAAGGUCUUCGGAUUGUAAAGCACUUUAAGUUGGGAGGAAGGGCAGUAAGUUAAUACCUUGCUGUUUUGACGUUACCGACAGAAUAAGCACCGGCUAACUUCGUGCCAGCAGCCGCGGUAAUACGAAGGGUGCAAGCGUUAAGCGGAAUUACUGGGCGUAAAGCGCGCGUAGGUGGUUUUGUAAGUUGGAGGUGAAAUCCCCGGGCUCAACCUGGGAACUGCCUCAAAAACUGCAUGACUAGAGUACGGUAGAGGGUAGUGGAAUUUCCUGUGUAGCGGUGAAAUGCGUAGAUAUAGGAAGGAACACCAGUGACGAAGGCGACUACCUGGACUGAUACUGACACUGAGGUGCGAAAGCGUGGGGAGCAAACAGGAUUAGAUACCCCAGUAGUCC